rnacentral:rRNA from 1 species
UACGUAGGGGGCAAGCGUUGUCCGGAUUCAUUGGGCGUAAAGAGCUCGUAGGCGGUUCAGUAAGUCGGGUGUGAAAGCUCCGAGCUCAACUCGGAGAGGCCACCCGAUACUGCUGUGACUUGAGUCCAGUAGAGGAGAGUGGAAUUCCUGGUGUAGCGGUGAAAUGCGCAGAUAUCAGGAAGAACACCCGUGGCGAAGGCGGCUCUCUGGGACGGUACUGACGCUGAGACGCGAAAGCGUGGGGAGCAAACAGG